GCCAGUGUGUUGUAGUGGUUUGAGCACUGGAUUACAACUCAGGAGACCAGGGUUCAAAUCUCUACUUGGUCA